rnacentral:rRNA from 1 species
UACGUAGGUGACAAGCGUUGUCCGGAUUUACUGGGCGUAAAGAGCGCGCAGGCGGUCGAUCAAGUCGAGUGUGAAAGCCCCCGGCUCAACUGGGGAGGGUCAUUCGAUACUGAUUGACUCGAAGGCAGGAGAGGGUAGUGGAAUUCCCGGUGUAGUGGUGAAAUGCGUAGAUAUCGGGAGGAACACCAGUGGCGAAGGCGACUACCUGGCCUGUUCUUGACGCUGAGGCGCGAAAGCUAGGGGAGCAAACGGG